AUUGAACGCUGGCGGCAUGCCUUACACAUGCAAGUCGAACGGUAACGGGCCUUCGGGUGCCGACGAGUGGCGAACGGGUGAGUAAUGCAUCGGAACGUACCUUUCAGUGGGGGAUAACGUAGCGAAAGUUACGCUAAUACCGCAUAUUCUGUGAGCAGGAAAGCAGGGGAUCGCAAGACCUUGCGCUGAUUGAGCGGCCGAUGUCAGAUUAGCUAGUUGGUGAGGUAAAGGCUCACCAAGGCGACGAUCUGUAGCGGGUCUGAGAGGAUGAUCCGCCACACUGGAACUGAGACACGGUCCAGACUCCUACGGGAGGGCAGCAGUGGGGAAUUUUGGACAAUGGGGGCAACCCGUGAUCCAGCCAUGCCGCGUGAGUGAAGAAGGCCUUCGG
rnacentral:rRNA from 1 species